UACGAAGGGGGCUAGCGUUGUUCGGAAUUACUGGGCGUAAAGGGCGCGCAGGCGGUCUUCCAAGUCAGAUGUGAAAGCCCCGGGCUCAACCUGGGAACUGCAUUUGAGACUGGAGGACUAGAGUUCGGGAGAGGAGAGCGGAAUUCCCAGUGUAGAGGUGAAAUUCGUAGAUAUUGGGAAGAACACCGGUGGCGAAGGCGGUUCUCUGGGCAUGUCCUGACGCUGAGGAGCGAAAGUGUGGGGAGCGAACAGG
rnacentral:rRNA from 1 species